GCCGCAUCGGUUUGACUGGGAUACUCAUCAAAUAAAUCUGAAAACCGAGACUGCUUACGCAUACCAAUGGCGGGCCACGCCCCGAAAGGGGUAACCUUGAGUCGGUGGAUUACAAAGGAUGCGCGGCGCUCAAAUCUUGUCACUCGGAGUUUCAUCACAUCACCGGUGCGGCCCUUUU
rnacentral:sRNA from 1 species